AGCGGCGGACGGGUGAGUAACGCGUGGGUAACCUGCCCCAUACACAUGGAUAACAUACCGAAAGGUAUGCUAAUACAAGAUGAUAUAAGAGAUUCGCAUGGAUUUCUUAUCAAAGCUCCGGCGGUAUGAGAUGGACCCGCGUCUGAUUAGCUAGUUGGUAAGGUAACGGCUUACCAAGGCGACGAUCAGUAGCCGACCUGAGAGGGUGAUCGGCCACAUUGGAACUGAGACACGGUCCAAACUCCUACGGGAGGCAGCAGUGGGGAAUAUUGCACAAUGGGCGAAAGCCUGAUGCAGCAACGCCGCGUGAGCGAUGAAGGCCUUCGGGUCGUAAAGCUCUGUCCUCAAGGAAGAUAAUGACGGUACUUGAGGAGGAAGCCCCGGCUAACUGCGUGCCAGCAGCCGCGGUAAUACGUAGGGGGCUAGCGUUAUCCGGAUUUACUGGGCGUAAAGGGUGCGUAGGUGGUUUCUUAAGUCAGGAGUGAAAGGCCACGGCUCAACCGUAGUAAGCUCUUGAAACUGGGAAACUUGAGUGCAGGAGAGGAAAGUGGAAUUCCUAGUGUAGCGGUGAAAUGCGUAGAUAUUAGGAGGAACACCAGUAGCGAAGGCGGCUUUCUGGACUGUAACUGACACUGAGGCACGAAAGCGUGGGGAGCAAACAGGAUUAGAUACCCUGGUAGUCCACGCCGUAAACGAUGAGUACUAGGUGU
rnacentral:rRNA from 1 species